GCGUCCGCCCCCGCGCGCCCGGCGCCUCCAGCCCGCCCUCGUCGCCGCCCAACCCGCCCAGGCCUCUCUCGAACAUGGCGCUUGUCCCCUGCCAGGUGCUGCGGGUGGCAAUCCUGCUGUCCUACUGCUCUAUCCUGUGCAACUACAAGGCCAUCGAAAUGCCCUCGCACCAGACCUACGGAGGGAGCUGGAAAUUCCUGACGUUCAUUGAUCUGGUUAUCCAGGCUGUCUUUUUUGGCAUCUGUGUGCUGACUGAUCUUUCCAGUCUUCUGACUCGAGGAAGUGGGAACCAGGAGCAAGAAAGGCAGCUCAAGAAGCUCAUCUCUCUCCGGGACUGGAUGUUAGCUGUGUUGGCCUUUCCUGUUGGGGUUUUUGUUGUAGCGGUGUUCUGGAUCAUUUAUGCCUAUGACAGAGAGAUGAUAUACCCGAAGCUGCUGGAUAAUUUUAUCCCAGGGUGGCUGAAUCAUGGAAUGCACACAACGGUUCUGCCCUUUAUAUUAAUCGAGAUGAGGACAUCGCACCAUCAGUAUCCCAGCAGGAGCAGUGGACUCACCGCCAUAUGUACCUUCUCUGUUGGCUAUAUAUUAUGGGUGUGCUGGGUGCAUCAUGUAACUGGCAUGUGGGUGUACCCUUUCCUGGAACACAUUGGCCCAGGAGCCAGAAUCAUCUUCUUUGGGUCUACAACCAUCUUAAUGAACUUCCUGUACCUGCUGGGAGAAGUUCUGAACAACUAUAUCUGGGAUACACAUAGAAAAAUAUUCAUUCUACAUUAUUAACUUAUGUACGUAGGACCUUCUAGUUAGUUCCACAGAGACAGAUGUUUUGGGCCAACUGCCAAGCCAAAGUUAGGUGGGAAGCCAUUUUCCCUCUCCAGGUCAAUGAAUAACCCGUUCUCCACCCGCACUUUGGAAGAUUCCAGCGUUGCUGCCAAGUCAACCCAUCUGCAGAAUAACGCUUUGGAAAAAACAGACCUUAAAAAGAAAAGCAAACUGCUAUUAGCCCCUGAUGGCUGUUCCGCAGGGGAGGGAGCACAGACAGAAGCAGGGCUUCCAGACGUACGUGCUGUUUGAGCGGAAUCUGUGCUGUGUUCUUCUUUCCUCGGUUCCCCAACAACGAAGGCGUGUUGCACCUUUUCACCUUCAACCCUGUGCCUCCUCCCGUCAGACGUACUCACUUUCAAUUUGUUUUCCUUCCUAUGAUUUCUGAGAAGGACUUAGGGAAAAGUGCUCCAGAUCUCUGCCUGUUCAUUAGCCAUGAAAACCAAACACAAAAGACUAUCUGGGGACAUCCUUGCAGAGCACGUUACCCACAUUUCACCACCGCUACUCUGACGGCACAAAACUGAGGCUAGGAGCUGGAGGAGGGUGUGGUGGGCGAGUCCCUCCUGCUGUAAAUCCUAACAUUAUGACCCUCUGGGGUUAAACUUUAUAAUUUUCCUAUUGUGGAGGCCCAUAUUUUGUUCUGCUUUCCACUAGUCCAGGCUUCUGAGGCCUUCUGUGUGUUCAUUGCUUAUUAAUAUAUUCAACAAAGACUAAUCGAGCUCCUGCAAUGAGACACACACACCGUGUUAGGUUCUGGGGAUAUGAUCAGGAACAGAACAGGGAAGGGCCCUACCCUCAGAAAGCUUGCAAUUUAUCAGAGAAUACAAACCGAACCUGCAAAACGGUAUUUUAGGUUCUUUUGUUCCAUUUUUGCUAUUGAAACAAAGAAACUGAGAGUUUAGUAUGAUUCAAAAAAACGUUUAGGUACAAGAAAAAGAAAAAAGAAGCACUUGCGAGAUUUAACUAUAAUUCAUAAAAAUGACAAACAUUUUCAUCUUCAGGCCCAUGAAACGUCAUUGACUAUACAGACAAUAGGCAAAGAGUCUUACUGGUGCAGUACAUACAAGUUCUUCUGUAAGAAAAGCAUGAUUCUACCAGGAUUGGGUUGAAUAGAGAAUUUCAGUUUAAGUUUCAGGAAUAUGGAAAUAAACAGUUCUUGGAGCUAACAAACCCUCCAUAAGCUUUAAAAAAAAUUGGCUUUUGAAAAUCCAGAGUCCUUGCCUUGGGAAGGAACAGGACUAAAGUAAAAAUAAAUGAAGUCUGUUUGAAACUCAUGAGUUGCGCAUCUCAUGUUGCCAGAAGCUGGUUUAAAAAGCAUUCCAGCUGGGGUUUCCAUGCAAACUCAGGGAGUCAUGAGUCAACUUGCAGCCUUGUCUCCCAGAGGCCAGGGGAGCUGGGUGUGUCCCAGAGAUGCUAUGUCCUGAUUCAAGGGAAAGGGUGGGAAGAGAGGUCACUGAGGAUGUUUCUGGAGAAAGUUGUAUAUGGCUUUUCUUCUUAGCUAGGAGGGAAAAUGGGGGUGUCAGGAGGGUGGAUGGGAGAAGUGAGGGCGGAUGAGUGGAUUUGUGGGUAGUUAGCAAACCAGAUUAAACAAACUGCUCGUAGUUUAAACUGAUGCGCCAAUAAAACGCUUUGCCUGUAUUUCUAGGUAUGGAAGAAGAGAAAGAAAAGCCUAAAUUGGAAUGAGACCCAAGUCUAAACGGAAGCGCUAGAUUGAGCCUCCAUUGAAGACUCGUUCCCCUUGGGCAUUGGCAGUGGGGGAGAAAAGCCUUCAAAGGAAGCAGUGGCAUCAGCACCCACCUCCCCCAAUGAGGACACCUUUAUGUAUAAAUAUGUAUAAACAUAGAAUACAGUUGUUUCCAAAAGAAUUCAUCCUCACUGUGUUUUAAAUAAUUCUUCCCGAAGUCAUCAUUGAUCAUAACAUUCUUUCCUUUUCUAGUUUUAAAACCAAAAUUGGACAUUGGAUUUUUAUGUUGGCAAUUUAACUCCAACUAAUUAAGAAAGAAAAAAAAUCAUUGCACUUCUUUUUGAGAACUGUGUUGAAGUCAAAGGGGCAGAUACAGAGUAAGGCCUUUGUGUACUUAGUCCUAAAGGUGGCUGUAAUAUGAACCUAGGCCACCAAGGGGACCUGAAGGAAAGGGGAAAGAUGUUUCCCAUUGCAAUAAUAUCACAGUUGCCUCAAAUGAGCACUAUUUGUAAUAAUGAUGUCAAUUUCAUUAAAAGCCUGAGUGUAUUGUAUCUCUUCAUUUCAUCAUGUGGAAGUUUUCCUAGAUGCAAAUUCUGACUGUAAUAAAGACCAAGCAGCCCUGAA